UACGUAGGGGGCAAGCGUUGUCCGGAUUUAUUGGGCGUAAAGAGCGUGUAGGCGGCCAGAUAGGUCCGUUGUGAAAACUCGAGGCUCAACCUCGAGACGCCGAUGGAAACCAUUUGGCUAGAGUCCGGAAGAGGAGAGUGGAAUUCCUGGUGUAGCGGUGAAAUGCGCAGAUAUCAGGAGGAACACCAAUAGCGAAGGCAGCUCGCUGGGACGUUACUGACACUGAGGCGCGAAAGCGUGGGGAGCGAACAGG
rnacentral:rRNA from 1 species